CUGAGUCAAGCAGUUAAAAAUAAAUCCCAGCAGUUGUGGAAGGAGCAGCAUUUGGUGAUACCUAAGGCGAUAAAUGGGUAGAAUUUCUGCUCACAACCCUGUGGAGCUUAGAGGGAACAUGGGCUCUAUCUUGUCCAUGCAGCAUGGACAAUGUCAAGAAGACCCAACGACAAGAACUAAGUAGCUGCUAGCAAACCCCAUGAAUCUGCAGAAGGAAGAAUUUUUAGCAAAAUGUGAAUACGGUUUGGUCCUUGGUGCCCACCUCCUAAAGAUGCAUGUAGCUGGGAAAGCAUUCAGUGACAAGUGUGAUGGGCAUCCUGCA